rnacentral:rRNA from 1 species
UACCAGCACCCCGAGUGGUCGGGACGUUUUUUUUUUUUUUUUUUUUUAGGGCCUAAAGCAUCCGUAGCCGGUUUCUACAAGUCUUCCGUUAAAUCCAACUGCUUUAACAGGUGGGCUGCGGAAGAUACUAUAGAGCUAGGAGGCGGGAGAGGCAAGCGGUACUCGAUGGGUAGGGGUAAAAUCCGUUGAUCCAUUGAAGACCACCAGUGGCGAAGGCGGCUUGCCAGAACGCGCUCGACGGUGAGGGAUGAAAGCUGGGGGAGCAAACCGG